rnacentral:rRNA from 1 species
AUUGAACGCUGGCGGCAGGCCUAACACAUGCAAGUCGAGCGGAUGAAGGGAGCUUGCUCCUGGAUUCAGCGGCGGAUGGGUGAGUAAUGCCUAGGAAUCUGCCUGGUAGUGGGGGAUAACGUCCGGAAACGGGCGCUAAUACCGCAUACGUCCUGAGGGAGAAAGUGGGGGAUCUUCGGACCUCACGCUAUCAGAUGAGCCUAGGUCGGAUUAGCUAGUUGGUGGGGUAAAGGCCUACCAAGGCGACGAUCCGUAACUGGUCUGAGAGGAUGAUCAGUCACACUGGAACUGAGACACGGUCCAGACUCCUACGGGAGGCAGCAGUGGGGAAUAUUGGACAAUGGGCGAAAGCCUGAUCCAGCCAUGCCGCGUGUGUGAAGAAGGUCUUCGGAUUGUAAAGCACUUUAAGUUGGGAGGAAGGGCAGUAAGUUAAUCCCUUGCUGUUUUGACGUUACCAACAGAAUAAGCACCGGCUAACUUCGUG